UUACCAUUGUAUUUAAACGUCUGUGCCAAGUUCUAGAACCAGUUCGAUGUAUUUUUGAAGUUCAGACACCAAAGUGAACAUGAGUAACAAGUUUAAGCACCACCGGUGAUAUUACCUCUUUAAAAAAAAAGAUUUGAAUUCGUUCAAAAUGGUCACUGGUAUUUGUUGAAGAAGACUUCCAAACACUGCUACGAUCUGGGAUUAAAUGGUUCAUAACAGGUGCUGAAUCCACAGUCCGAAGCGGG
rnacentral:lncRNA from 1 species